GAGGAUUUAGCUUAAUUAAUACAAUUGAUUUGCAUUCAUUAGAUGUAAGAUAUAGUCUUGCAAUCCUUA
rnacentral:tRNA from 1 species